rnacentral:tRNA from 1 species
UCUUCCCGGACGAAGGCCAACGCCGAUCGCC